rnacentral:rRNA from 1 species
CCUACGGGAGGCAGCAGUGGGGAAUCUUGCGCAAUGGGGAAACCCUGACGCAGCAACGCCGCGUGGGUGAUGAAGGCCUUCGGGUCGUAAAGCCCUGUCAGGUGGGAAGAAACUUGUGGAUGUUAAUACCAUCCAUGCUUGACGGUACCACCGGAGGAAGCACCGGCUAACUCCGUGCCAGCAGCCGCGGUAAUACGGAGGGUGCAAGCGUUGUUCGGAAUUAUUGGGCGUAAAGCGUGCGCAGGCGGAUUGUUAAGCAAGACGUGAAAUCCCCGGGCUUAACCUGGGAAUGGCGUUUUGAACUGGCAGUCUAGAGUGUGUCAGAGGGGGGUGGAAUUCCACGUGUAGCAGUGAAAUGCGUAGAGAUGUGGAGGAACACCAAUGGCGAAGGCAGCCCCCUGGGAUAACACUGACGCUCAUGUACGAAAGCGUGGGUAGCAAACAGGAUUAGAUACCCUGGUAGUCCACGCCCUAAACGAUGUCAACUGGUUGUUGGGGGAGUGAAAUCCCUUAGUAACGAAGCUAACGCGUGAAGUUGACCGCCUGGGGAGUACGGUCGCAAGAUUAAAACUCAAAGGAAUUGACGG